AUGUGGAAAUGUAAAGACUGUGACCAUUCAUAUUCAAGAAGAUCUGAACUUUUGAAACACUAUAAACUUGAUCAUCGGCAUUAUGGACGGGGCCGAGCUUACCCCUGUACUUACAAGAAUUGCCCAUGCACAUGCAAGACAUGGAAAGCUCUGCUGACCCAUCUAAGCAAAUACCAUCCUGCACAACAAUCCUCACAGAAAGAUAGCUUUUCACAAUUCUUCAAGUGCCACAUUUGCGACAACAAUCUACUUUCUACUGAGACGGACUAUUUUCGACACAUUGGGAAACAUUUGAAAAAUCAUGAAUCUGUCAGUUGUAUGUUUGCUGAUUGCUCAUACAAAACCAAUCUAUAUGGAGCUUUCAAUACUCACAAAUGGAGAAAACACACCCCCCAUACAAUUAAUGAUUUAAAGCCUGGAAUUGUUGAUGGACCUGUUGAUAGUCCUGCUGUUGUAGAAUCAUUUGCAAUAAGCAGUACAGAGUUGUCAGAUGCUGAUUUACUAUCUGAAGAACUUCCUGAUGAAGAAUCAACAGAUUUGACAAAUGUUAUUGAAUUAAAAUUAGCCUCAGUCUUACUUAAGUUAGAAAAUGCUUUUCUGGUGCCAAGUGCAGCUGUGAAUGAACUACUUGAAGAGUUGCAAUAUUUAAUUGGUAAUGUCUCUGUGCCGGUCACCCAAAAGACUAUAAUCCACUUCUUAAAGGAUCACAAUUGCCAGAUUGAUGAAUCAGUUGUGAAAGAGUUGGCCACUGUACUUUGCACUUCAAAUCCCAUUCAAGCUGCAAUUGGAAACCAUGGUCCCCUGUCAACCACUUGGAAACGGAAGACAUACUAUAGAAAAAACUUCAGUGUUGUGAAACCAGUUGAAUAUGUAUUAGACCGAAAGAAUGGAAAGUCUUUUCAGUAUGUCCCUAUACUAAAAUCUUUGCAGCAACUUCUAAAUUGUGAACCUAUACUAAAUAAGGCUACAAAUUUGAAAGAAAAACAUCAACCAGGGGAUGGUGAUAGACAGGUAUACACAUCAUUUUGGGAUGGACUUUUCUUUAAAAGAAAUGCUAUUCUCUCAAAAGAGUGUGCAAUUUCAUUGAUUUUGUACGUUGACGAUUUUGAAAUAUGCAAUCCCCUUGGUACAUCACGUAAAAAACACAAAAUAUGUGCCUUGUAUUGGAUUUUAGGCAAUCUGCCACCUGGUUUUCAGUCAUUGUUGUCCUCUAUCCAUUUGGCUGCAUUGAUAAAUAGCAAUGAUGUCAAGGUUUAUGGUUAUGACAAAGUUUUAGAGCCUUUAACUAGUGAUCUCAUAACAUUAGAACAAAAUGGGAUUUUUGUGAGUAAGUUGGGGAAAACUUUGAAGGGCACAGUGCAGUGUGUGGUUGCCGAUAACCUUGGAGCACACAGUAUUGCUGGUUUUGUAGAAAGUUUUUCUGGCAGAUAUGUUUGCAGAUUUUGUACUGCAGACAGGUUCGAUUUUCAGACCAAGGACGUUGGAGCUGGAGGUUUCUCGCCGAGAACUGAAGAAAUUCACACAAGUCAUCUUAAAACCCUUGAGGAAAAUUCUUUGUCCAACUGUUAUGGUGUUACGAGGAAAUGUGUUUUGUCAGAAAAACUUUCCCAUUUCAAUGUUACUACUGGUUUUCCUCCAGACAUUGCCCAUGAUUUAUUUGAGGGAAUAGUUCCCGUUGAAAUAUCUCUUUGUCUGACUGUAUUCAUUUCCAAAAACUAUUUUACUUUGGCCACUCUGAACAAGGCAAUAGAAGAUUUUCCCUUUAAAUGGACUGAUAAAACAAAUCGCCCACAUCCUGUUCCUCUGACCUAUUCAUCCAGGAGAACAAUUGGUGGAAACGCACACGAAAACUGGAGUUUAAUAAGAUUUCUUCCACUACUACUUGGACAGAAAGUUCCCACUGAUGAACCAGCCUGGCAUCUCCUUGCUGAUUUAAAAGACAUUGUGGAGCUUGUUGUUUCUCCAGUUCAAACUAAAGAAUCAAUUGGAUAUUUGAACUUUAAGAUUUCUGAGCACAGAGUUAGAUUUAAAGAGCUUUUCCCAGAGACAAAUCUUCUGCCUAAACACCAUUUCCUGGAGCAUUAUCCUCAGUUAAUCUGUGAGUUUGGACCGUUAGUUGCACUAUGGACCAUGCGUUUCGAAGCGAAGCACAGCUUCUUCAAAAGAGUUGUGCGCCAUACAACGUGCUUCAAAAAUGUGCUCAUGUCCUUAGCAGAAAGACAUCAGUUUCUCAUGGCACAUCACCUUUACAUGUGCAACUUUCCUAAAUCCCCCCUGGAAGUAGCAAAUGUUUCAACUCUUCCCAUAGACGUUUUGAAAGACGACAUUGCAUUUGCUAUUAAACGGAGGCACCCAGACUUGGAUUGUGUGUGCUUGGCUAAAAAUGCAACGUAUAGUGGCCUUAACUACAGGAAUGGAAUGAUACUUGCACAUGGCUCAUUGGCAGGGAUGCCGGAAUUUACUGAAAUAAUCCAGAUGAUUGUUGUCAAGGAUAAGCUGCUUUUUAUUGUCAGAAAGCUGAGUGCGUGGUACAGGGAACAUUACAGAGCAUAUGAACUGAAAAUGUGUCCUACGAAGGAGGUGGAACUUCUUGACCGAAACGAACUGACAGAUCCAUAUCCAUUGGCUGACUACACAGUUGGGGGGAUGCGGCUGAUUACUCUCAAAAGAUACAUACAUGUUUAA
rnacentral:lncRNA from 1 species